rnacentral:rRNA from 1 species
GAUGAACGCUGGCGGCGUGCCUAAUACAUGCAAGUCGAGCGAACGGACGAGAAGCUUGCUUCUCUGAUGUUAGCGGCGGACGGGUGAGUAACACGUGGAUAACCUACCUAUAAGACUGGGAUAACUUCGGGAAACCGGAGCUAAUACCGGAUAAUAUUUUGAACCGCAUGGUUCAAAAGUGAAAGACGGUCUUGCUGUCACUUAUAGAUGGAUCCGCGCUGCAUUAGCUAGUUGGUAAGGUAACGGCUUACCAAGGCAACGAUGCAUAGCCGACCUGAGAGGGUGAUCGGCCACACUGGAACUGAGACACGGUCCAGACUCCUACGGGAGGCAGCAGUAGGGAAUCUCCCGCAAUGGGCGAAAGCCUGACGGAGCAACGCCGCGUGAGUGAUGAAGGUCUUCGGAUCGUAAAACUCUGUUAUUAGGGAAGAACAUAUGUGUAAGUAACUGUGCACAUCUUGACGGUACCUAAUCAGAAAGCCACGGCUAAAUACGUG